UUAUUUGAGAGUUUGAUCCUGGCUCAGGAUGAACGCUGGCGGCGUGCCUAACACAUGCAAGUUGAGCGAUUUACUUCGGUAAAGAGCGGCGGACGGGUGAGUAACGCGUGGGUAACCUACCCUGUACACACGGAUAACAUACCGAAAGGUAUGCUAAUACGGGAUAAUAUAUUUGAGAGGCAUCUCUUGAAUAUCAAAGGUGAGCCAGUACAGGAUGGACCCGCGUCUGAUUAGCUAGUUGGUAAGGUAACGGCUUACCAAGGCGACGAUCAGUAGCCGACCUGAGAGGGUGAUCGGCCACAUUGGAACUGAGACACGGUCCAAACUCCUACGGGAGGCAGCAGUGGGGAAUAUUGCACAAUGGGCGAAAGCCUGAUGCAGCAACGCCGCGUGAGUGAUGAAGGCCUUCGGGUCGUAAAACUCUGUCCUCAAGGAAGAUAAUGACGGUACUUGAGGAGGAAGCCCCGGCUAACUACGUGCCAGCAGCCGCGGUAAUACGUAGGGGGCUAGCGUUAUCCG
rnacentral:rRNA from 1 species